UACGUAGGUGGCAAGCGUUGUCCGGAUUUACUGGGCGUAAAGAGCGCGCAGGCGGUCGUUCAAGUCGCGUGUGAAAGCCCCCGGCUCAACUGGGGAGGGUCACGCGAUACUGAUCGACUGGAAGGCAGGAGAGGGUAGUGGAAUUCCCGGUGUAGUGGUGAAAUGCGUAGAUAUCGGGAGGAACACCAGUGGCGAAGGCGGCGACCUGGGCCAAUAUUGACGCUGAGGUGCGAAAGCGUGGGGAGCAAACAGG
rnacentral:rRNA from 1 species